rnacentral:rRNA from 1 species
UACGAAGGGGGCUAGCGUUGUUCGGAUUUACUGGGCGUAAAGCGCACGUAGGCGGAUUUUUAAGUCAGGGGUGAAAUCCCGGGGCUCAACCCCGGAACUGCCUUUGAUACUGGAAGUCUUGAGUAUGGUAGAGGUGAGUGGAAUUCCGAGUGUAGAGGUGAAAUUCGUAGAUAUUCGGAGGAACACCAGUGGCGAAGGCGGCUCACUGGACCGAUUACUGACGCUUGAGGGUGCGAAAGCGUGGGGAGCAAACAGG